rnacentral:rRNA from 1 species
AUUGAACGCUGGCGGCAGGCCUAACACAUGCAAGUCGAACGAGCGGCGGACGGGUGAGUAAUGUAUGGGGCACUGACCGAUGGAGGGGGGUAACUACUGGGAACGGUGGAUCAUACCCCAUACAAGCGCAUGAGCCCAUAUGGGAUUAGCUAGUAGGUGAGGGAAUGGCUCACAUAGGCGACGAUCCCUAGCUGGUCUGAGAGGAGGAUCAGCCACACUGGGACUGAGACACGGUCCAGACUCCUACGGGAGGCAGCAGUGGGGAAUAUUGCACAAUGGGCGCAAGCCUGAUGCAGCCAUGCCGCGUGUAUGAAGAAGGCCUUAGGGUUGUAAAGUACUUUCAGUCGGGAGGCGUUACCGACAGAAGAAGCACCGGCUAACUCCGUGCCAGCAGCCGCGGUAAUAC